rnacentral:rRNA from 1 species
AGAGUUUGAUCCUGGCUCAGGAUGAACGCUAGCGGCAGGCUUAACACAUGCAAGUCGAGGGGUAACAGGGAUUGCUUGCAAUCCGCUGACGACCGGCGCACGGGUGCGUAACGCGUAUAGAACCUACCUUUUACAGAGGGAUAGCCUUUAGAAAUGAAGAUUAAUACCUCAUAGUACUGAGAAUUGGCAUCGAUUUUUAGUUAAAGAUUUAUCGGUAAAAGAUGGCUAUGCGUCCUAUUAGCUAGAUGGUAAGGUAACGGCUUACCAUGGCAACGAUAGGUAGGGGUCCUGAGAGGGAGAUCCCCCACACUGGUACUGAGACACGGACCAGACUCCUACGGGAGGCAGCAGUGAGGAAUAUUGGACAAUGGGCGAGAGCCUGAUCCAGCCAUGCCGCGUGCAGGAAGACUGCCCUAUGGGUUGUAAACUGCUUUUAUACAGGAAGAAACACUCGGACGUGUCCGAGCUGACGGUAGCGUAAGA